UAGCCAUGAUCCAAAUAGUCGCGUCUCUGUAAAAUAUGAGCUCAUUUUCUUCCACUUUAAGAAGCUAAUGAGUGGACGGGAUGCAGGGGUGCAUUCUACGGCACAACACCGGAACGUAUUUCCUCCGCACCCUUCUCACCUUUUCAACCCCUGACCCAUUUUCAUGCCUGAAGCGCUGUGUUUGAGAAAUACUUGCGGCCGGGCACUUCAUAUCGCGGGUCGAGAGUGGCUAGAAGCUGGUCGAAGCCAGGCUUUUCAACGGUAGUUAUUGGCAGUAUGUCCCUCACUAUGGAGCAUGUUACUGCAUGGGUGAUGUCCUUAUGCCGCUCGGACGCUUUGUCGUAUUUUUGGCAAGAAACG